rnacentral:lncRNA from 1 species
GUAAAAGACUAAACCAAUUACAGACGUCAUUUUGGUUUGAAGAGGAAAAAGGUCAGGGACUAUGAUUGAAAUCCUCCAUAACUGAAACAUGGCAACCUAAGCAUAUCUUUAGCAUAACAUCUGAAAAAUGUUUCAAAGUACAAUCUGAACACAUAAUGAAUGUAAAAUGCUGAUCUGUUUAAGUCAAGGAGAAUUCUGACAAGAUUUUACCUUCAGCAUUUUUCUGGAAUUUGCUUCCCACUUUGGGAGCACAUUAAUUUCACAGUAUUUUCACAUGGCAUUCAUGCUCCAGUUUAGACAGUGUGUGUAUAGACAUGCAUAGUUAUGAAUUCUGCUUCUGAGUGGGUUUUUUUGGUUUCUUUUUUUUCAGUUGAUGAAUGUUUUCUUUUACUAGGUGUCUUUUUCCGAGGUGUCUUAAAUGACACUGCUUUAAGGGAGUUACAACUGAGUUCAAGAUUCUACAAAGUUUAUUAAAGUGCCAUUUUCUUUGGAAUUAAAAACAUUAGUAUGUUGGCAGUUGCAAGGGCAGAGAAGUUCUACAUAAGCAUCUCAAACCUUCUUAAUAAAUCGAGGUCCCUGGGUGUUGACACAGAAUUGUGCGUGUGAAGUUCACAUUGCAGGAACAGAGUCCAAGUAUAAUUUUAAGAACACCUCAGAAACCUGAUGCUACACGGUGUUUCCACUCUACUGCCAUUUGGCCUUUGUGGUUCCAUUCCUUCCACUACACAAGGACAGAAUUAUAAGAUGCAAAAUCUUGCAUCUCAGCAGGUUUGCUCUGUCUCUAAUAAGAUAGAAGGGAAAACCCUGUCAAGACUAAUACCUAAAAUGAAAAUGAUACAGUACUCUGCAUGA